GGGUCUAUAGUGUAGUGGUUGCACGCUCGAGAUCUAUAGGAUUCCAUGGGAAUAGAUUAUUGAGAGGGGCCAGUUCGAUUCUGGCUAGACUUU